rnacentral:tRNA from 1 species
GCUGCUAUGGCUCAGUCGGUAGAGCACAUCCUUGGUAAGGAUGAGGUCACCAGUUCAAGUCUGGUUAGCAGCUCCA